GUUGGAUUUGUUGUCGUCCGUUGGCGUGCGCUGUGGACUGCAGCACAUGCGGAGGCCAGGCUUGAAGCCAGGCACGUGGAGCUGCCGCGGAGGGGGCUGACUGGAGAGAGCGCGGGUCUGCGGGCAAAUGUGGAUGUGGAAGGAAGAAGACUCUGAUGGCACAGGCAGAGGCUGGGAAGUUGCAGCUGCAAAGCAACAACCCAAGAUGCAGCAAGUGCCAGAAACUAGGAAGAGCCCAUGGAGGACCCUACGCUGGAGCCUUCAGAUAGAGCAGGGAGCAGCAGGCCUCUGACAUCAGGCCCUGCCCUCCAGAACUUGCCUUCCACGACCAGUGAAGAUGCCUUUGAUCUCUGUCUUCAUUGCUCUCUUCAGAGGUUCCAUCAGCUUUGGACAGCUCUAUAGGCUAGAUGAGUUGGUGAGUGUUCUGCUCUCUUUGGCUGCUCCUUUGUUUUCAGAAACACACAGGUGAUUCUGUAGAAAUAGACCCUAAAAAUCCUUCAGCCUCAUCAGGAUUUCACCAGCUUUACAUGCACGUGUGUGUGUGUGUGUGUGUGUGUGUGUGUGUGUUGCUGUAUGAAAUACAUCAGCUCAGUAAUACGGUGCUAGAAAAAGAAGAUCCAUGUAGGAAAUGGCAUACUAAGAAGGUAGCUGGAGGAAGGAGAGACAUUUGUAUUGACAACCAUGCACACAGCAAGAAUAGUUCUAAGUAGCACAAAGACAGGUGGAUAAAUGUGUGUAGUAUCGUCCCCUGAAUAAUAGAGUAGUUAUGUCCCCUAGCAAUUCCACUGCUGGUGAUAUGAGGAAAUUUAGAAUUCAAGGACAGUGGGAUUUAAAGAUACACCUAAAAUAUAUACUUUGUCAAUAGAAGGUAGUUUAAGUUCCAGACAUUUUUGUAAUAAAACAAACACUUAGUACUUUCCUCAAUAACUAAGGAUCUUGGCAAUUUGGCCAUGUCCAUGGAGUCUUCCAGUUUGUAUUUUUUAAAAGAUAGAUAGAUAGGUAGAUCUAUUUAUGUAUUUAUUUGAAAGGCAGAGUUAGAGAAUGAGAGAGAGAAUCCAGUCUCCCAUCCACUGGUUCACUCCUGAAAUGGCCACAAUGGCUGGAAUUGUGCCUUUCUGAAGCCAGGAGCUUCUUCCAUGUCUCCCAUGUGGGUGCAGGGGCCCGAGUACCAGAACUGUCAUCUGCUGCCUUCCCAGGAGCAAAAGCAGGGAGCUGCAUUGGAAAUAGAACAGCCAGAUGUUGAACCAGUGCCCGUAGGGGAUGCCAGCACCACAUGUGGCAGCUUUCCUCACUAUGCCACAGUGCCAGCUCAGUUCUUCCACUUCUUUACUGAAGAAAAAUGGGUCACCUUCACAGAUAUUGGAAGAGGCAGGUUUUCAGCACAGCACCCGAUGCUGCUUGGGACAUGCACAUCCCUUGUCAGAGUGCCUGGGGUUGAGUUCCUGUCCCACUUCUGAUUAAUUUUCUUCUGAUGUGUACCCUGGGAGGCAGCAGGUGGUACUGGGUGCUGUUGGUUGACUGUGAUUCAGGUAAGAGACCCAGAGUGCCUUCAUGUCUGCUGACUGUGGCUUGGCUACAACUGGGCUGCUGUGGAUAUUUGCAGGGUGAACCUGCAAAAGAGAUGCAUCUUGAUCUCUGUCUAAAGAUUUUAUUUAUUUGUCUGAGAGGCACAGUAAUAUUAAGGGGUGGGGGGUGAUCCUGAGAUACUCCAUCCACUGGAGAUGCUCCAUCUAUUGGUUCCCUUCCCAAAUGGUCACACUGGUGAGAGCUGGGCCGAUCUGAAGCCAUGAGCCAGGAUCUUAGGACCUCUCCUUCCUUCCUCUUUCAAAUGGGGAUGGGAUGGGAAUAGCAAUGGGAGCAGCAGAGCUCAGGCAGCAGCUGUUUGUACUGCAGAGACUGUUAGUAGUCCCAGUGGACGUGUGGGACACUGAG